rnacentral:rRNA from 1 species
UCUACGGGAGGCAGCAGUGGGGAAUAUUGCACAAUGGGCGCAAGCCUGAUGCAGCGACGCCGCGUGAGGGAUGACGGCCUUCGGGUUGUAAACCUCUUUCAGUAGGGAACAAGGCUGCACGUUGUGUGGUUGAGGGUACUUGCAGAAGAAGCGCCGGCUAACUACGUGCCAGCAGCCGCGGUGAUACGUAGGGCGCAAGCGUUAUCCGGAAUUAUUGGGCGUAAAGAGCUCGUAGGCGGUUUGUCGCGUCUGCCGUGAAAGUCCGGGGCUCAACCCCGGAUCUGCGGUGGGUACGGGCAGACUAGAGUGAUGUAGGGGAGACUGGAAUUCCUGGUGUAGCGGUGAAAUGCGCAGAUAUCAGGAGGAACACCGAUGGCGAAGGCAGGUCUCUGGGCAUUAACUGACGCUGAGGAGCGAAAGCAUGGGGAGCGAACAGGAUUAGAUACCCUGGUAGUCCAUGCCGUAAACGUUGGGCACUAGGUGUGGGGGACAUUCCACGUUUUCCGCGCCGUAGCUAACGCAUUAAGUGCCCCGCCUGGGGAGUACGGCCGCAAGGCUAAAACUCAAAUGAAUUGACGGA